GGAGAGGUGGCCGAGUGGCCGAAGGCGCUCCCCUGCUAAGGGAGUAUCUGGUUUAUAGCCGGAUCGAGGGUUCGAAUCCCUCCCUCUCCGCCA
rnacentral:tRNA from 2 species